UACAGAGGUCUCAACCGUUGUUCGGAUUCAUUGGGCGUAAAGGGUGCGUAGGCGGUCGUGUAAGUCGGAUGUGAAAUCUCAGGGCUCAACCCUGAAACUGCAUUCGAUACUGCAUGGCUAGGGUACUGGAGAGGAGACUGGAAUUUACGGUGUAGCAGUGAAAUGCGUAGAUAUCGUAAGGAAGACCAGUGGCGAAGGCGAGUCUCUGGACAGUUACUGACAGCUGA
rnacentral:rRNA from 1 species